UUCUGCUUCAGGACUCAGUUUCUCUAAAUGCCAGGGUUGAGCCACAUUGGAGAUUUUCAAGUGUUUAUGGCAACAGAACUCUAAGCCCAGUUGAAACUCAAAGUGGUCAAAACAGAGGUGCUCUGUAGAGCUGGGGAAUGGAGACCCCAGUGACCAACAGGAGAGCCCCCGCCCAGUCCCACGAGACCUUAGCGCUCAGAGGAGCCCAGUGAGAACACUCCUCCAGGCAGGUUGCAUCUCUUGGGUUUGCAAAGAAAAGGGAUUUGCACUCAGACCCCUCACAUUAUCCCCCAAUUUAUCCUUCCUUCUUUCCACUCCCCUCAGGGAGAGCUCAGAAAAACUUAAGGAGCUCUAUAGCCAUGACAAGUCCUUGAGAAGAGAAUUGAUGACCAAGGAGGGGCCCUCCACGUUUGCCCC